UGGGAUGAGAUACGCAAGUCGUUUAUUUUAACUACUUGUCACUAAUGAAUCCCUACAGAAAAUUGUGCUUUCUGAUGACUGCAAAGUUUCAAGGUCUUACUUGCAGACAGAUACGGAGCACACAGUU